GGGGAUUUAGCUCAGUGGUAGAGCGCUUGCCUAGCAAGCGCAAGGCUCUGGGUUCGGUCCCCAGCUCCU
rnacentral:tRNA from 1 species